GGCCCCGGCGGCGGGGGUUCGGCGGGUCCCGAUCUGCACCAAGCGAGCCCGAGGCGGCGGCGGCGCGGCAGAGCAGAGCAGAGGAGCGGCGCCCCGAGGCGGAUCACCCGCUCGCUCGCACAGGAGAGACGCUACGGCCUACGGGUGGUGGAGAGGAGGAGGAGGAGGAGGAGGCGUGGCGGCUACGGCUUCUCUCUCGCUGGCUGACUGGAUGGUGGUGGUGGAGGUGGAG
rnacentral:lncRNA from 1 species